UACUUCUAUCACGUCUUUGCUCACUGAUAGGCCUUGUUUUCUUUGUGAGUCUUCUUUGAGUUGUAUGCUUCUGAAGCUCCUCUCAUCAGUUCCUUUGUGAGUUCUGACCAACUGCAGAUUCGAUCGGGUGGACGACAAAAGGUUAGAUAUAGAUUCGAUACAUGUAGUGUAUACUGUAUACAUACAUGUAUGUUAUCAUGAUUAAAUACAGAUAUGGUUUUUCUUCGUUCCAUUUGUUUAGCUAAUAUCUGAUAUCUUUGAAGGUAAUGAAUGGGAUAAAUUGACUCAUUAAUUGGCCGACCAAAUCUUCGGUGACGGAGAGCACAUGGCUUAUAGGGGGCCAUGGCCCCCACCCCUUUUGGAGAACCUAGUCUUUCAUCUAGAGAUUUCGAAUAGUGUAGUAUUGCAGGCAAUGAAUUUUAUGUAGUACUUGGACAUUUUAGUUUAGAUUUAGCCUCUAGAGAACCUAGUCUUUCAUGUAUUGAUUACCUGCUUCAAUUGAUAUUUGGAGCGCCAUCUGUCCAGGCGGCGAUUCGAGAGCAAAAUGGCGGCAGCCCCCAUGCGGAGGAAGCAAUUCGGAAGCAGCAUAUCCAUCUCAUUCCCACCAUACCAAGUGAAGCUGAC
rnacentral:lncRNA from 1 species